UUAGGAACGAUACAGACCUGGACCAUUCAAAGGGGCACAACUCAGUUUAAUUAGGCGUCCGAGGUGCGGACCACAACGGGAAGGCAGUUAAGGAAAUUCAAAGUCGGAACGCUGGUAUGAGGGGGGCCUUGGGUUUCUGAAACUAAAGAGUAUUCCACGGCCGCCUCAGGAUAUUCGUUGUAGGCGGCUAGGGACCAGCCGUAGCAAAUACCAACUCUGAUCCUGCCAUAGACUAGCAGAAGCUCGGGGGUUGAAAGCAAGAACUAAUUACUUUUGUAGGAACCGUUUACGAAGGCGUCAACAAGCCGAAAGUAUUUAGGUUCUUAAAGUGUAGACUGAUACUUUAUGCUUACGGGGGCUGACAGGGAUAAUUAGUAAUGAGGCUAGGGCUUCCGGUUGUGUUAUCCUGGCCUUAGGAUACUACAAUAGGGUACGAUUACAUAGGUCUCGCUACCGAACGAAACUCGUGAGAUUAAAGAAGUUUCAUUGUUACGGCCUUUGUGCUGGGCCGGUUAAUUCCGAUCCUCACGCUACGGCCGGCUUCCCAGCUCAUCCAACCAAGAGCGGCACUCCGCCUGGCCGGCUGGGCUGGGUUCCAGGUUGUUGCUCGAAAAAUUGACGUUGUUGAAUUUAUAUGCGAUAACCUCGACCUUAAUGGCGCCGACGACCGUGGUCUGAACGGGAGGUUACCUAGGAACAAUUCCCUAAAUCUAACAUGAGUAAGGUUAAUGGUCUGUGAUUACGCGGGCCAUAACAAUAAAUAACAGUGAUGGAGGGGCACAGUCCUAACCCAUUAAACGCGCGGACGACGGAAGGAACCUACACCAUCGGCAAAGAGUCCGAGGGAGAGACCUUAGUUUGAGAUUAAGCGGCAGUGGGCAGUGGUGGUACCAUCCGGGGAUAGG
rnacentral:rRNA from 1 species